UACGUAGGGUGCAAGCGUUAAUCAGAAUUACUGGGCGUAAAGCGUGCGCAGGCGGCUAUGCAAGACAGAUGUGAAAUCCCCGGGCUCAACCUGGGAACUGCAUUUGUGACUGCACAGCUGGAGUGCGGCAGAGGGGGAUGGAAUUCCGCGUGUAGCAGUGAAAUGCGUAGAUAUGCGGAGGAACACCGAUGGCGAAGGGCAA
rnacentral:rRNA from 1 species